rnacentral:lncRNA from 1 species
AGAGCCUGAGGUUGUGCAGUGCUCUACUAAAGCUAGAGGACUACUAAACAGGGAUUGGACGUUUUUCUCAAGCUUAAGAAGAAAAGGAGCUCUGAUGUUUGUGAUCCUCAUAGCUCUGUCCAUCAGACUUCAAUAGAGUUUCUAAGAUUUUAUAAGACAGCUGCAAAAGUAUUUUUGCUGACAUUAUUGGUGAAGAGCUGACCAGAAGAUAAAAAGACAAGUUCUCUGUGGUCAAAGGACAUUUCACCCAGGAGAGUACCCCUACAACACAGGAGAGUACCCCUACAACACAGGAGAGUACCCCUACAACACAGGAGAGUACCCCUACAACACAGGAGAGUACCCCUACAACACAGGAGAGUAGCCCUACAACACAGGAGAGUACCCCUACAACACAGGAGAGUACACCUACAACACAGGAGAGUAGCCCUACAACACAGGAGAGUAGCCCUACAACACAGGAGAGUAGCCCUACAACACAGGAGAGUAGCACUACAACACAGGAGAGUAGCCCUACAACACAGGAGAGUAGCCCUACAACACAGGAGAGUAGCCCUACAACACAGGAGAGUAGCCCUACAACACAGGAGAGUAGCCCUACAACACAGGAGAGUAGCCCUACAACACAGGAGAGUAGCCCUACAACUCAGGAGAAUAGCCUUACAACACAGGAGAGUACCCCUACAACACAGGAGAGUAGCCCUACAACACAGGAGAGUAGCCCUACAACACAGGAGAGUAGCCCUACAACACAGGAGAGUAGCCCUACAACACAGGAGAGUAGCCCUACAACACAGGAGAGUAGCCCUACAACACAGGAGAGUAGCCCUACAACUCAGGAGAAUAGCCUUACAACACAGGAGUGUAGCCCUACAACAUAGGAGUAUAGCCCUACAACAUAGGAGUAUAGCCCUACAACAUAGGAGUAUAGCCCUACAACACAGGAGUAUAGAAGCCCUACAACAGAGGAGAAUAGCCCUACAACACAGGAGAAUAGCCCCACAACACAGGAGAGUAGCCCUACAACACAGGAGAAUAGCCCUACAACACAGGAGAAUAGCCCUACAACACAGAAGAAUAGCCCUACAACACAGGAGAGUAGCCCUACAACACAGGAGAGUAGCCCUACAACACAGGAGAGUAGCCCUACAACACAGGAGAGUAGCCCUACAACACAGGAGAGUAGCCCUACAACACAGGAGAGUAGGCCUACAACACAGGAGAGUAGCCCUACAACACAGGAGAGUAGCCCUACAACACAGGAGAGUAGCCCUACAACACAGGAGAGUAGCCCUACAACUCAGGAGAAUAGCCUUACAACACAGGAGAGUACCCCUACAACACAGGAGAGUAGCCCUACAACACAGGAGAGUAGCCCUACAACACAGGAGAGUAGCCCUACAACACAGGAGAGUAGCCCUACAACACAGGAGAGUAGCCCUACAACACAGGAGAGUAGCCCUACAACACAGGAGAGUAGCCCUACAACUCAGGAGAAUAGCCUUACAACACAGGAGUGUAGCCCUACAACAUAGGAGUAUAGCCCUACAACAUAGGAGUAUAGCCCUACAACAUAGGAGUAUAGCCCUACAACACAGGAGUAUAGAAGCCCUACAACAGAGGAGAAUAGCCCUACAACACAGGAGAAUAGCCCCACAACACAGGAGAGUAGCCCUACAACACAGGAGAAUAGCCCUACAACACAGGAGAAUAGCCCUACAACACAGAAGAAUAGCCCUACAACACAGGAGAGUAGCCCUACAACACAGGAGAGUAGCCCUACAACACAGGAGAGUAGCCCUACAACACAGGAGAGUAGCCCUACAACACAGGAGAGUAGCCCUACAACACAGGAGAGUAGGCCUACAACAUAGGAGAGUAGGCCUACAACAUAGGAGAGUAGGCCUACAACAUAGGAGAGUAGGCCUACAACUCAGGAGUGUAGCACUACAACACAGGAGAAUAGCCCUACAACAUAGGAUUAUAGCCCUACAACACAGGAGUAUAGCCCUACAACACAGGAGUAUAGCCCUACAACACAGGAGUAUAGCCCUACAACACAGGAGUAUAGCCCUACAACACAGGAGUAUAGCCCUACAACACAGGAGUAUAGCCCUUCAACACAGCAUGGGGAGAAAGCUUCUCUCUCACAAAUAUUCAGUAUGGUAAAGAUAUUAUUUUAGUGGAAAAACACCUUUGAUUAAAAUAUUAUAAUGUUGGUAUAUAUUUAGGAUAAGAAGGAUUGCAAUAAGAUAAGUGCAAUAAGAAAGAUUGACUAUAAACACAUUGUACAGAUUUCUGAAUGCUUAGUUUGCUUCUAUCUAGACUCAGGAUCUGCAUAUUUUAAUAAAUGUAAGGAAACUAUGACCUCGGCUGAUGUAAUGUAUGUUUCUACUCAACUUUAUUCAAUGAAUUUCAGCCCAUGAUUCUGUUACGUUUCCCUCCAGUUGCACAUCUCCUCUGAAUGGUUCUGCUUUCAGGCAUGGUUACAUUACACGCAAGAGUCAUUGGAUGGAUAGGGCAGUUUUGUUAGCUGUCUAUCAUGCGGCAAACACUGGUGUGUGUAAGCGUAACUUGGGAAGCGUAGCGGAAGUGGUUUCAUUGGAUGGAGGCACCCAUAGCUGUAUGGAUCUGUGCAAAACUGCUACAGUAAAUGGAUAUUUUUGCUCGCUGGUGAAAGAUCAGGGCCAUAUGUUUUGAAAUCUGUAUCGCAAGCGAUGAUUAUUGACGUUUCUAAACGUUAAAACACUGUGUCGGAAUUGUAGUUCACAUGAGCCAGUCGUGGGCGAAGCUAAUGGCUAGAAACUGUAGGGAGAAGGCAGAAUGCCUUCUAGAGUUUAAGAGCUAGGCGUUACCAUCCUGUGUUGGUGGGCAAAUGUGAAAUCAAAACCCAACGCUCAAAUAGCCAAUGGAUGUAGGGAUGUAACCGCUUCCCCAUGUCUCUCAAAUCUCAGUUUUGGAAGAUACUGACUUUAUGAAAAUGUACACUUUAUAAACUCAGCAAAAAAAGAAAUGGCCCAUUUUUAGGACCCUGUCUUUCAAAGAUAAUUCAUAAAAAUCCAGAUAACUUCGCAGAUCUUCAUUGUAAAAGGUUUAAACCCUGUUUCCCAAACUUGUUCAAUGAACCAUAAACAAUUAAUGAACAUGCACCUGUGGAACGGUCGUUAAGACACUAACAGCUUACAGACGGUAGGCAAUUAAGGUCACAGUUAUGAAAACUUAGCACACUAAAGAGGCCUUUCUACUGACUCUGACAAACACCAAAAGAAAGAUGCCCAGGGUCCCUGCUCAUCUGCGUGAACGUGCCUUAGGCAUGCUGCAAGGAGGCAUGAGGACUGCAGAUGUGGCCAGGGCAAUAAAUUGCAAUGUCCGUACUGUGAGACACCUAAGACAGCGCUACAGGGAGACAGGACGGACAGCUGAUCGUCCUCGCAGUGGCAGACCACUUGUAACAACACCUGCACAGGAUCGGUACAUCUGAACAUCACACCUGCGGGACAGGUACAGGAUGGCAACAACAACUGCCCGAGUUACACCAGGAACGCACAAUCCCUCCAUCAGUGCUCAGACUGUCCGCAAUAGGCUGAGAGAGGCUGGACUGAGGACUUUAGGCCUGUUGUAGCAGGUCCUCACCAGACAUCACCGGCAACAACUUCACCUAUGGGCACAAACCCACCGUCGCUGGACCAAACAGGACUGGCAAAGAGUGCUCUUCACUGACAAGUCGUGGUUUUGUCUCACCUGUGGUGAUGGUCGGAUUCGCGUUUAUCAUCGAAGGAAUGAGCGUUACCCCGAGGCCUGUACUCUGGACCAGGAUCGAUUUGGAGGUGGAGCAUCCGUCAUGGUCUGGGGCGGUGUGUCACAGCAUCAUCGGACUGACCUUGUUGUCAUUGCAGGCAAUCUCAACGCUGUGCGUUACAGGGAAGACAUCCUCCACCCUCAUGUGGUACCCUUCCUGCAGGCUCAUCCUGAGAUGACCCUCCAGCAUGACAAUGCCACCAGCCAUACUGCUCGUUCUGUACUUGAUUCCCUGCAAGACAGGAAUGUCAGUGUUCUGCCAUGGCCAGCGAAGAGCCUGGAUCUCAAUCCCAUUGAGCACAUCUGGGACCUGUUGGAUAGGAGGGUGAGGGCUAGGGCCAUUCCCCCCAGAAUUGUCCGGGAGCUUGCUGGUGCCUUGGCAAAUCUGGUGCAGUCCAUGAGGAGGAGAUGCACUGCAGUAUUUAAUCUUGUAACUCCCAUCCCGGAUCCGGGAGCGUUGUCAUCAACUGACACUAAUUAGGAUAACGCAACGGACAUAAAUAUUACUAGAAAAUAUUCAUAUUCAUGAAAUCACAAAUUAAAUAUAUUGAAACACAGCUUAGCCUUUUGUUAAUCACUCUGUCAUCUCAGAUUUUGAAAAUAUGCUUACAGCCAAAGCAAGACAAGCAUUUGUGUACGUUUAUCGAUAGCCUAGCAUAGCAUUAUGCCUAGCUAGCAGCAGGCAACCUGGUCACAAAAAUCAGAAAAGCAAUCAAAUUAAAUUGUUUACCUUUGAUGAGCUUCAGAUGUUUUCACUCACAAGACUCUCAGUUAGAUAGCAAAUGUUCCUUUUUUCCCAAAAUAUUAUUUUUGUACCCGAAAUGACUCCGUUAGUUUUUCACGUUUGGCUGAGAAUUCGCCAAAAAAUAUUCCAAAGUAGCUCCAUAAUAUCGACAGAAGCAUGGCAAACGUUGUUUAUAAUCAAUCCUCAAGGUGUUUUUCAAAUAUCUAUUCAAUAAUAUACCAACCGGGACAGGUGGCUUCUUAGUAGGAAAGAGAGAAACAAUGGCCGCAUUUGUCUCUUACGCACAAAACACUCUGAGAGACUCCAGCUGACCACUGACGCAAUGUUGACGUUCAGGCUCAUUUUUCAAAAUAAAAGCUUGAAACUAUGUAUUGUGACACUAGACACAUUAGGGAAGCCAUAUAAAAAGGAAUCUGGUUGAUAUCUCAUUCACUGCUCAAUAGGGAGGCAUAGGAACGCAGAGCUUUCUAAAAAAAGAGUCCCUUCCUGAUUGGAUUUUUCUCAGGCUUUCGCCUGCAAUAUCAGUUCUGUUAUACUCACAGACAAUAUUUUUACAGUUUUGGAAACUUUAGAGUGUUUUCUAUCCUAAGCUGUCAAUUAUAUGCAUAUUCUAGCAUCUUGUCCUGACAAAAUAGCCCAUUUACUUUGGGAACGUUAUUUUUCCAAAAAUGCAAAUAGUGCCCCCUAGAUUCAACAGGUUAAUGCAGCUGGUGGCCACACCAGAUACUGACUGUUACUUUUGAUUUUGACCCCCCGUUUGUUCAGGGACACAUUAUUCCAUUAAUAUUAGUCACAUGUCUGUGUAACUUGUUCAGUUUGUCUCAGUUGUUGAAUCUUAUGUUCAUACAAAUAUUUACACAUGUUAAGUUUGCUGAAAAUAAAUGCAGUUGACAGUGA